CUACGGGGCGCACCAGUGGGGAAUAUUGCACAAUGGGGGAAACCCUGAUGCAGCAACGCCGCGUGGAGGAUGACACAUUUCGGUGCGUAAACUCCUUUUAUAGGUCAAGAUAAUGACGGUAGCCUAUGAAUAAGCGCCGGCUAACUCCGUGCCAGCAGCCGCGGUAAUACGGAGGGCGCAAGCGUUACUCGGAAUCACUGGGCGUAAAGAGCAUGUAGGCGGGUUAAUAAGUCAGAAGGGAAAUCCAAUAGCCCAACUAUUGAACUGCUUUUGAAACUGUUAACCUAGAGUGUGGGAGAGGUAGAUGGAAUUUCUGGUGUAGGGGUAAAAUCCGUAGAGAUCAGAAGGAAUACCGAUUGCGAAGGCGAUCUACUGGAACAUUACUGACGCUGAGAUGCGAAAGCGUGGGGAGCAAACAGGAUUAGAUACCCGAGUAGUC
rnacentral:rRNA from 1 species